UACAGAGACUGCGAGCGUUAUUCGGAUUCACUGGGCGUAAAGGGUGCGCAGGCGGCCGAGUGUGUGAGGCGUGAAAGCCCGGGGCUUAACCCCGGAAUUGCACCUCAAACUACACGGCUAGAGCAUUGGAGAGGGUAGCAGAAUUCACGGUGUGGCAGUGAAAUGCGUAGAUAUCGUGAGGAAUACCAGAGGCGAAGGCGGCUACCUGGACAAUUGCUGACGCUCAGGCACGAAAGCGUGGGGAGCGAACAGG
rnacentral:rRNA from 1 species